UACGAAGGGGGCUAGCGUUGUUCGGAAUUACUGGGCGUAAAGCGCACGUAGGCGGAUUGUUAAGUUAGGGGUGAAAUCCCCAGGGCUCAACCCCUGGGAACUGCCUUUAAUACUGGCAAUCUCGAGUCCGAGAGAGGUGAGUGGAAUUCCGAGUGUAGAGGUGAAAUUCGUAGAUAUUCGGAGGAACACCAGUGGCGAAGGCGGCUCACUGGCUCGGAACUGACGCUGAGGUGCGAAAGCG
rnacentral:rRNA from 1 species